CCCAGACUCCUACGGGAGGCAGCAGUGGGGAAUAUUGCACAAUGGGGGAAACCCUGAUGCAGCGACGCCGCGUGAGUGAAGAAGUAUUUCGGUAUGUAAAGCUCUAUCAGCAGGGAAGAUAAUGACGGUACCUGAGUAAGAAGCCCCGGCUAACUACGUGCCAGCAGCCGCGGUAAUACGUAGGGGGCAAGCGUUAUCCGGAUUUACUGGGUGUAAAGGGAGCGUAGACGGCAUGGCAAGUCUGAAGUGAAAGCCCGGGGCUCAACCGCGGGACUGCUUUGGAAACUGUUAAGCUGGAGUGCAGGAGAGGUAAGUGGAAUUCCUAGUGUAGCGGUGAAAUGCGUAGAUAUUAGGAGGAACACCAGUGGCGAAGGCGGCUUACUGGACUGUAACUGACGUUGAGGCUCGAAAGCGUGGGGAGCAAACAGGAUUAGAUACCCUGGUAC
rnacentral:rRNA from 1 species